UAGGGAAUCUUCGGCAAUGGACGGAAGUCUGACCGAGCAACGCCGCGUGAGUGAAGAAGGUUUUCGGAUCGUAAAGCUCUGUUGUUAGAGAAGAACGUUGGUAGGAGUGGAAAAUCUACCAAGUGACGGUAACUAACCAGAAAGGGACGGCUAACUACGUUCCAGCAGCCGCGGUAAUACGUAGGUCCCGAGCGUUGUCCGGAUUUAUUGGGCGUAAAGCGAGCGCAGGCGGUUCUUUAAGUCUGAAGUUAAAGGCAGUGGCUUAACCAUUGUACGCUUUGGAAACGGGAGGACUUGAGUGCAGAAGGGGAGAGUGGAAUUCCAUGUGUAGCAGUGAAAUGCGUAGAUAUAUGGAGGAACACCGGUGGCGAAAGCGGCUCUCUGGUCUGUAACUGACGCUGAGGCUCGAAAGCGUGGGGAGCAAACAGG
rnacentral:rRNA from 1 species